AGGAUGAACGCUGGCGGCGUGCCUAACACAUGCAAGUCGAACGUCCUGUCUCGCAAGAGGCAGGGAGUGGCGGACGGGUGAGUACCACGUGGGUUAUCUACCGUGAGGUGAGGAAUACCGGCGAGAAAUCGCCGACAAGACCGCAUAGCCUCGGUGCAAGCCGAGGAAAGCUUUCUCGAGAGAGGGAGCGCCACACGAGGAGCCUGCGCCCGAUUAGCUAGCUGGUGGAGUAACGGUUCACCAGGGCGACGAUCGGUAGCUGGUCUGAGAGGACGAUCAGCCACACUGGGAUUGAGAACGGCCCAGACUCCUACGGGGGCAGCAGUGAGGAAUUUUCGUCAAUGGGGCAACCCUGAACGAGCAACGCCGCGUGCAGGAAGAAGGUUUUCGGAUCGUAAACUGCUUUUCGUCGGGGAAGAGAACGGACGGUACCCGAGGAAUCGAGCCCCGGCUAACUACGUGCCAGCAGCCGCGGUAA
rnacentral:rRNA from 1 species